UCGUGGUUACUUAUGUACUUGAUCACAUUUUGUAGGAAAACACGGUGUUCCAUAUCACUACACUGAUAGUCCUAAAGCAAGAGUCAACUUCAGAUUCGUGUCAGACCUUGAAUGAAGAAGAAAUUUUUGAAGUCCAAGACAAAUAUUCACUUUUUCCUUUUGGGUGGAUCCAUGUAAGUGUUUCAGUAGCU